GCUUACGGCCAUACCACCCUGAUCGCGCCUGGUCUCAUCUGAUUUUGGAAGCUAAGCAGGGUCGGGUCUGGUUAGUACUUGAAUGGGAGACCGCCUGGGAAUACCAGGUGCUGUAAGCU
ensembl:rRNA 5S_rRNA 5S ribosomal RNA